CGCGUAGGCGGACUUUCAAGUCGGAUGUGAAAUCUCCGGGCUCAACUCGGAGCGUGCAUCCAAUACUGUUGGUCUUGAGUAUAUCAGAGGAAAGCGGAAUUCCAGGUGUAGCGGUGAAAUGCGUAGAUAUCUGGAAGAACACCAGUAGCGAAGGCGGCUUUCUGGGGUAAUACUGACGCUGAAGCGCGAAGGCUAGGGGAGCAAACA
rnacentral:rRNA from 1 species